rnacentral:rRNA from 2 species
UCCUUGAAGGGUCGUUCGAGACCAGGACGUUGAUAGGUCAGGUGUGGAAGUGCAGUAAUGCAUUAAGCUAACUGAUACUAAUUGCCCGUACGGCUUGUCCCUAUAACCUUAGCAGGUU